AUGACUGCAUCCAAAGUAGCCCAUGAAGAUACAUUCACAAUCAAGAAGUGCCACAUGGAUCAUAGUUGUGGAGCUUGUGGAGAGAGUACAAAGGUUACUGCUGAAUGGGUUGCAGAAGUUGUGGAGGACACAGUUAGAUCAAAUGUAAAGGCUGAUGUAGAGACCGUUCUCAAACAUACUAAGAAGAAGUUUGGGGUGCAUGUACCUAGGAGUUUGGCAUAUAGGGUAAGACUGAUGGUUGUUGAUGUUGUGCAAGGUGAUCAUAGAAAGCAGUAUCUGAGGUUGAGGGACUACCUAUAA
rnacentral:rRNA from 1 species